rnacentral:misc_RNA from 1 species
GUGAAUCAUCGAAUCUUUGAACGCAAAUUGCACUCUCUUCGGAGAGUAUGCCUGUUUGAGUGUCAGCCUAAAAAAAAUCGACAUCGUUGCUGUUUCGCGGUGGCGUUCGUCGGAAAUUGGGGUAUCUUAAGUCUUUGGUUUAAGUGACUUAAAAUUUUCUUUACGAUUCGAUGAACGUUUCAAUGUUUUUUUUCUUUACACGUUUAAGGUAUCUAUUUAGUUAUGAUU